CACGUAGGACCAAGCGUUGUCCGGAUUCAUUGGGCGUAAAGAGCUCGUAGGCGGCUCAGUAAGUCGGGUGUGGAACCUCCAGGCUCAACCUGGAGACGCCACCCGAUACUGCUGUGGCUAGAGUCCAGUAGGGGAGCGUGGAAUUCCUGGUGUGAGCGGUGGAAUGCGCAGAUAUCAGGAGGAACACCGAUGGCGAAGGCAGAUCUCUGGGCCGUAACUGACGCUGAGGAGCGAAAGCUGGGGAGC
rnacentral:rRNA from 1 species